rnacentral:rRNA from 1 species
UCUGCUAUUCCUAGAGAUAGGAUNUUCCCUUCGGGGACAGAGUGACAGGUGNUGCAUGGUUGUCGUCAGCUCGUGUCGUGAGAUGUUGGGUUAAGUCCCGCAACGAGCGCAACCCUUGAUCUUAGUUGCCAGCAUUUAGUUGGGCACUCUAAGGUGACUGCCGGUGACAAACCGGAGGAAGGUGGGGAUGACGUCAAAUCAUCAUGCCCCUUAUGACCUGGGCUACACACGUGCUACAAUGGAUGGAACAAAGGGAAGCAAAACCGCGAGGUCAAGCAAAUCCCAUAAAACCAUUCUCAGUUCGGAUUGCAGGCUGCAACUCGCCUGCAUGAAGCCGGAAUCGCUAGUAAUCGCGGAUCAGCAUGCCGCGGUGAAUACGUUCCCGGGCCUUGUACACACCGCCCGUCACACCACGAGAGUUGGUAACACCCGAAGUCGGUGAGGUAACCUUUUGGAGCCAGCCGCC